UGGGGAAUUUUGCGCAAUGGGCGAAAGCCUGACGCAGCGACGCCGCGUGAGCGAUGAAGGCCUUCGGGUUGUAAAGCUCUGUGGGGAGGGACGAAUAAGUCGGAGCGAACAGCUCCGAUGAUGACGGUACCUCCUUAGCAAGCACCGGCUAACUCUGU
rnacentral:rRNA from 1 species